rnacentral:snRNA from 1 species
GGAUGUGAGGGCAAUCUGGCUGUGACAUCUGUCACCUCAUUGAUCACCAGGGUUGAUUUGGCUGGCUAGACAGGUGUCCCCUUCCUCCCUCACCGCUGCCUGUGUGUCCCUCCCAAAGCUGCCUGCUUGGUCAAUGAGGUCAACCAUCCCUAAAAGAGGAGGACUGUUCUUCUGUCAAGGGUUUAUGAGUAGCUGCACUCCCCUGCUAGAACCUCCAAACUAGCUCUCAAGAAAUACAAAGAAAAGACACAACAGUUCACAAAGCCACAGAAGCCAUGAAUAUGCAGUGUCAUGUCUUCAUCUGC